GGCAAGCACCUACAGAUGACACCAUCCUGCAUGCUGCACAGAGAUGGAGGUUUGAAAUAGUUGUUGGAGAUCUGUGAUACUGCACCAUCAUAAGUAACUUUUUAUGCACUCAAGCGUGACCAACUCCCGUCCUCCAGUUUCCACCUAAUCAUCAUUUCACUGCAUGACAAGGACACUCAUAAAAGUGUUGAAUUAUUUGACUAGGGCCAAAUUGGGCUUUUCAUCACGUCUUUGCUGAAGGAUAUUUCACAAAUCCCAACGCUGAAUGAUUUCAUGCGGAGGGCGACAUUGACCCACAGGAUAUGUUCUCUGCCUUUAAUUUGGUCCCAGGUGAAGAAGGAAAAAAAAACAAGAGGUUCAAGAUAAAGAAGCAAGUUGAUGGAUGGAUCAGGAGCCUUCAAGCUUUAGAGUCUGUUAAAGUCAAGAACUUGUUUGUUUUUGAUAUGUUCCUGAGCUUCCUGUACAUGAGUGGAAUCCAGCGAUGGCAAACAACACCUCAAUGUGCUAAGGUUCAGAUCAUUUGACAUCUUCAGGCUGGGGGAAAAGAAAAAAAAGAGAAAUACUCUUUAAAAUACCUUUUUUAAAACACAAAGCUCUGAGCAAAGACAGAGCCCAAAACUUUAGGAUCUAUUAGAAAAAAAA